AGAGAAAGAUAGAGGGAGCUGAGAGAGAGAAAGAUAGAGGGAGCUGAGAGAGAGGUAGAGAGCUGAGAGAGAGGUAGAGAGCUGAGAGAGAGGGAGAGAGCUGAGAGAGAGCUGAGAGAGAGAAAGAUAGAGGGAGCUGAGAGAGAGAAAGAUAGAGGGAGCUGAGAGAGAAGUAGAGAGCUGAGAGAGAGAAAGAUAGAGGGAGCUGAGAGAGAGGUAGAGAGCUGAGAGAGAUGGAGAGUGCUGAGAGAGAGGUAGAGAGCUGAGAGAGAGGUAGAGAGCUGAGAGCUAGGUAGAGAGCUGAGAGAGAGGUAGAGAGCUGAGAGAGAGCUGAGAGAGAGAAAGAUAGAGGGAGCUGAGAGAGAAGGAGAGAGCUGAGAGAGAGAAAGAUAGAGGGAGCUGAGAGAGAGGUAGAGAGCUGAGAGAGAUGGAGAGUGCUGAGAGAGAGGUAGAGAGCUGAGAGAGAGGUAGAGAGCUGAGAGAGAGGUAGAGAGCUGAGAGAGAGGGAGAGAGCUGAGAGAGAGCUGAGAGAGAGAAAGAUAGAGGGAGCUGAGAGAGAGAAAGAUAGAGGGAGCUGAGAGAGAAGUAGAGAGCUGAGAGAGAGAAAGAUAGAGGGAGCUGAGAGAGAGGUAGAGAGCUGAGAGAGAUGGAGAGUGCUGAGAGAGAGGUAGAGAGCUGAGAGAGAGGUAGAGAGCUGAGAGAGAGGUAGAGAGCUGAGAGAGAGGGAGAGAGCUGAGAGAGAGCUGAGAGAGAGAAAGAUAGAGGGAGCUGAGAGAGAGAAAGAUAGAGGGAGCUGAGAGAGAAGUAGAGAGCUGAGAGAGAGAAAGAUAGAGGGAGCUGAGAGAGAGGUAGAGAGCUGAGAGAGAUGGAGAGUGCUGAGAGAGAGGUAGAGAGCUGAGAGAGAGGUAGAGAGCUGAGAGAGAGGUAGAGAGCUGAG